ensembl:snRNA U6 U6 spliceosomal RNA
GUGCUUGCUUCGGCAGCAUAUACCAAAAAACUGGAACGACACAGAGAAGAUUAGCAUGGCCCCUGAGCAAGAAUGACAUGCAAAUUCAUUCAACGUUCCAUACUUUU